GCCCCACCCCCGUACAACUUUCCGCGGCGGUCCAUUUUUGGGCUCCCCACCUCCGUGUUCGCUCGCCGCGAGUUCGCAUCUCGCUUCGCGUCUACGAAGAAGCUUUUCGAAGCACCCUCGUACACUCGACUCGCGCCACUCUGCUCGCUCGGGUUAGCGAACUCGAUAGUUUCUCGAAGGAAGCCGGCAAAAGCAAAAGGUCGCCACCAUGGACGCGAUCAAGAAGAAGAUGCAAGCGAUGAAGCUUGAGAAGGACAACGCGAUGGACAAAGCCGACACCUGCGAGGGUCAGGCGAAGGAGGCGAAUAUGCGCGCGGACAAGGUCAACGAGGAGGUCAGCGACCUGCAGAAGAAGCUCACCCAGGUGGAAUCUGACCUUGAUACCAACAAACGGAACCUGGAACAGGCCAACAAGGACCUGGAAGAGAAAGAGAAAGCUCUUACCAACGCUGAAUCCGAGGUCGCUGCUCUGAAUCGCAAAGUCCAGCUGAUUGAAGAGGACUUGGAACGCUCCGAAGAGCGACUCAACACCGCCACUGCCAAGUUGGCCGAAGCGUCCCAGGCCGCUGACGAGUCCAGCCGUAUGUGCAAAGUAUUGGAAAACCGCGCGCAACAGGAUGAAGAGAGGAUGGAUCAGCUGACGAACCAGUUGAAGGAGGCGCGUCUCCUCGCUGAGGACGCCGAUGGAAAAUCUGACGAGGUAUCGCGAAAGCUGGCCUUCGUUGAAGACGAGCUGGAAGUCGCCGAGGAUCGAGUCAAGUCCGGUGAAGCCAAGAUCAUGGAGUUGGAGGAGGAGUUGAAGGUUGUCGGUAACAGCUUGAAGUCUCUCGAGGUUUCUGAGGAAAAGGCUAACCAAAGAGUCGAAGAAUUCAAGCGACAACUCAAAACUUUGACGGUGAAACUAAAGGAAGCGGAGGCUCGUGCCGAGUUCGCCGAGAAGACUGUCAAGAAACUGCAAAAGGAGGUCGACAGGCUCGAAGACGUAUUGCACCAGCAGAAGGAGAAACGCAAAACGAUUUGCGAAGAAUUGGACAAGACAUUUGCUGAGCUUUCUGGCUACUAAAAAAAAAAAAAAAAAAAAACCGAAACAAAAAAAAACAAAAAAUGAAACGAAAUGAAAAGAUCACUCAUACUCGCCCGAAAACUUUCACAUUUGUCCCUUACGCUCAGAAGUUUUCUUGUUUUCGUUGUCUUCUGUGUUCAUCGAAGAAACUUUACCGCUUUUAGCUACGUUUUUUCCCCUUUUUUCGCUGCGACAUAGCUUCCAAAGUUGGGCGUGUUUUUCUUUUUUUUUAUUUUCUUUUUGUCCACUUUAACAAACAUCUUUUUACAACGAAAACGCAUUGUUAUAUGUUUCUAUCGCUUUUUCUCGUACUGUUACUGCUGUUAUAGAAUUUGGCGAACACGCAACGUAACUUUUCACAGUUUUCACCGAUCACCGAAUUCUCCCCCGAUUCUUUUAUCGUUAUGCUCACGCCAUUGUUACAAUCGUUGUUCGUGCCGUCCCAUUUGGGAUCGCUUUGCUUUAUUUUUGCGAGAACGGAGCUCUUAGUAUAUUUUUUCGUUUACAUUGAGCAUUGUCCAUUAAUAUACGCGUACAUCGAACACACGAGUACACACGGCUGCUUAACAGAAUUUAAGAGAAAAGAUAUUAUACGAAAAACAAAAAAAAAAAAAAAGAAAUACAAAAAAAAAAUAAGCUUCGCACGUUUAUGUGGGCCGUCGUACGUCAGGUACAUUUGCCAUCCCCUCGCAAAACUGUUUGCCUUACACUCGUGCAAAGACGAGCUGGGCAUCAACAAGGACAGAUACAAGUCGCUCGCCGACGAGAUGGACUCCACGUUCGCCGAGUUGGCAGGAUACUAAACGAUUUUUCGCCGUUCUAUGCUUCGUAUAACGAUCGCAUUGUCACGCGUGGGGAUGGAACUACGAUCGUUUCGCAGAAGGGACCUCGAGGACUCGACCGGAAGCCGCGCGAGCGGCGAAAGGCGCUAGGGGCUGAGGUCACGUCGGGGACUGGAUGUUAUUUAUCUAAAUUAUGCUACGUUACCGCGACGAAGUUGGUCAAUGUAUCGCGGAGAUCGUAUGAAAUUUUACUCUGUUACACCGUUGUACCAAAUAUUAUUACACGAGACCCAAUAAACUGCUGCAAUGUGGUAUGCGUUACUAAUUAAA